rnacentral:rRNA from 1 species
CAGUAGCCGCGGUAAUGCGUAGGUGGCAAGCGUUGUCCGGAAUUAUUGGGCAUAAAGGGCUCGCAGGCGGUUUCUUAAGUCUGAUGUGAAAGCCCCCGGCUCAACCGGGGAGGGUCAUUGGAAACUGGGAAACUUGAGUGCAGAAGAGGAGAGUGGAAUUCCACGUGUAGCGGUGAAAUGCGUAGAGAUGUGGAGGAACACCAGUGGCGAAGGCGACUCCCUGGUCUGUAACUGGCGCUGAGGAGCGAAAGCGUGGGGAGCGAACAGGAUUAGAUACCCCUGUAGUCCCUGUCUCUUAUAC